rnacentral:lncRNA from 1 species
AAGUGAUCCUCCUGCCUCAGCCUUCCAAAGUCCUGAGAUUACAGGCGUGACCCACUGCACCCAGCUCCUUGCCACCUUCUUGGUGCCAAUCAAAAUAGUCCUGAAUAAAGUCUGACUUACUGUUUUAACAAGAGUCAGAUUUUUUUCUUUAAUAAGCGCAGUAGAAGAGGUGAACUGAAGAGGAGGGGCUGCAGUCAUUGAUGAAGACAAGGUCCAAGGCAAAACCACAGACUAACAAGGUGGUACUGCUGUUCAUGGGAUCUGUAAAGAGUGAAGAAGGAGUCUCAGCUCUCAGUAGAGUUCAUAGGCUCUAGGAUUUCUGCUGGAAGUGAGAACACU